rnacentral:rRNA from 1 species
ACUCCUACGGGAGGCAGCAGUGGGAAUAUUGGACAAUGGGGCAACCCGUAGCAUCCAGCCAUGCCGCGUGAGUGAUGAAGGCCUUAGGGUUGUAAAGCUCUUUCAGCGAGGAGGAUAAUGACGUUACUCGCAGAAGAAGCCCGCGUACAUUCGUGCCAGCAGCCGCGGUAAUACGAAGGGGCGUAGCGUUGUUCGGAAUCACUGGGCGUAAAGCGCACGUAGGCGGAUUGAUAAGUUAGGGGUGAAAUCCCGGGGCUCAACCUCGGAACUGCCUUUGAUACUGUCAGUCUUGAGUCCGAGAGGAGGUG